GGGCCCGUAGCUCAGCCAGGUAGAGCACCGGGCUUUUAACCCGGGGGUCUCGGGUCCGACUCCCGACGGGCCCGCCA
rnacentral:tRNA from 1 species